rnacentral:rRNA from 1 species
UACAGAGGUCCCAAGCGUUGUUCGGAUUCAUUGGGCGUAAAGCGCUCGCAGGUGGUUCGAUGCGUCGUGCGUGAAAGACCCCGGCUCAACUGGGGAGUGUCGUGCGAUACGGUCGGACUGGAGGCCAGUAGGGGGAUGCGGAAUUCCGGGUGUAGUGGUGGAAUGCGUAGAGAUCCGGAGGAACACCAGCGGCGAAGGCGGCAUCCUGGACUGGUCCUGACACUCAUGAGCGAAAGCGUGGGGAGCGAGCCGG